GCAACAAAAAGUUGAUCUUCCAGUUCGUUUCUUUGACUCGCACGACGCGGUUAUGUUUUUACGGCUGUGUUCUUUAAUUUCGCACAAACGAUGACAAACUUUACGAAUUAGUGGAUUUCCGGCGGUAAUGAAAAGUGUUAGAAGUUUCUCGUCACGGUUCGGUGCCUGUUUCGGACGUAAGAACAUCAGUGAAUGAUUACGAGUCGUCGAUGUUGUGACGACUUUUUGUUACUCCCACAUGUUGCAUUGCCUUCGACGCAGCAACAGCUGCUUGCAGCAGUGAGUGAGUGAGUAACCAUUGCGUCGUCGUUUGUGGGAAAGCUUAUUACCAUGAUGAAUCGUACUUAGGUAUGCGGUAGUCACAUAAGAAGAUAAGAUAAACCACAAGCAGUGUUCUGUGCGUAAAUCUAUUCGAAAAUCUGCUUGAGCCAAACUUGGCAGUGAAUCAAAAUAAGUGCUGCAGCUUUACACAGAAGAUAGCAAACGGGUUCAAUAACCACUGCCCCCGAAAACCAGGAAGUGACGAGAGAAGUUUAUUCGAGUGUCUGCUGCUGUUCUUGUGAAUAAGUGGAGUACAACGACGAGAGCACCUGCUUCUCCCCGGUUUUGGUUCUGCUGCAGUUUGGAAGGCGUUUUCGGCAUUCCGUCUAUAUACCUGGACCUAUCUGUAUUCAACAGCCCUGGUAAUUUCACAUGAGAAAUCGAAACAGCGAUCAUCAGUAGUUGAGCAGCUGAUUGCUUGCCGGUAAACACCGACGCGAGGUACCUACAAGAGAGGAAACGACGAGGAAAAGAUUUCCGAUAAUUAGCACAUGGUUCGGUGCUGGGAAUAGCGAACGACGACAAAUGGAAGAAAGAUGUUCAAUGGAGCGGUGAUGCUGUUCAGAAUCGCACAUACUUCAGUUAAAUUGGUUUCCCCUGAGGGCAACCGGUACAGGUAGGCCCCCGCCAACGCAAAUCAGCGAAAAAUGAUGACCGAGGAAGAAUUGACCGAGAAGAGAAUUCUGCUGGAGCGUGCAAAUGCCGAACGGGAAGCAAUUUUCAAGCGGUACGAUCGAGGGCGAAAGAACAUAGACAUUGACGCAUGGGAUGAUCCGGCUUUUGAGAUUUACACCCAAGCGGAUCGGUAUGGGUUUCUGCACCCGGAGAAGGAACAGCUAUAUCGAGACGACAUCGAGGCGGCUCGUCGGAAGCAGAUCGAAAUUGAACGUACGAAAAAAUGGCUAAAAAUGAGGAACAACUGGACGAGCGCCGAAACGAAGGAACGUCUCCAAAGGAGGGUAAUGAAAGGUAUCCCCGAUCGGUUAAGGGCGGCCAUUUGGAAGUUGCUUCUGAAUCUGGACCAGACGCUGGCAGAGAACGUCGGAGUUUACGACAAGAUGCUUAAAUUUGCCCGGCAGUACAGUCCGGACAUUCGGCAGAUAGAUUUCGAUGUGAACCGGCAGUUUCGCAAUCAUAUCAACUACCGCGAGCGGUACAGCGUGAAGCAGCAAAGCCUGUUCCGGGUGCUGGCCGCCUAUAGUAUGUACAACAUGGAGGUGGGCUACUGCCAGGGCAUGUCGACGGUGGCCGGCGUGCUGCUGAUGUACUUCGAUGAGGAGGACACGUUCUGGGCGUUGAAUGCGCUGCUGUCCAAUGAACGGUACGCCAUGCAUGGGCUGUAUGUGGAAGGCUUUCCCAAGCUGAUGCGGUUCCUGCAACACCAUGACAAAAUCCUGACCAAAUGUAUGCCAAAAGUUAAGAAGCAUUUAGACAAACACGGAGUCGAUUCCGUGCUAUAUUCGCUGAAGUGGUUUUUCGUUAUCUUCAUUGAAAGGAUACCGUUCAGCCUUUGUCUGCGAGUAUGGGACAUCUACAUGCUCUACGGUGAGCGUGUGCUGACGGCGAUGGCCUACACCAUCCUAAAGGUCCACAAAGUGAAACUACUCCGAAUGAAGGACAUGGACCAGAUAACCGAGUUCCUGCAGACGAUUCUGUACAAAAAUUUCGGCUACGAUGACGAUACUGUGAUAAAGGCUCUACAGCUGGCGAUGUUCGAGCUGAAAAAACUGAACCUGGACAAGCUGCCACCGGCUCCGGUCAACGAAUUUCCCAAGGUCCCCUUCGGGCAGUUUAUCGAGCCCAGUCUGGAGGCGAAGAUCGGACACCGGAACGAGAAAUUCACCGAACGAGAAACGGAACUGAAGGAGACAGUGCUGUAUCGAAGCGAAUCGAAGAAUGGCGCUGACGACGAGGGCGAUGAAAACGGACGGGGCGACCAUGUCCCGCGGAAUGGCCAUCAUCGGGACGAGAACGGCGACGAAGAUGACCGGACCGAGCGGGAUUGUGAUGAUAUCACCGAGGAGGACGAUGCUUACAGUAAUCUCAAUACAGUUCCUCUAACGCCUCGGUUUCGGAGAUUCCAUCCCUUGAAUAAAGGUGUUAGCAUGUCAUCGCUCAGAACGAUCCAGAGCUUUACCACGCUCGACACCAGCACGUCAUUAGCGACCAGCCUUAACUCACUCGUAAUAAUCGAUUCGUUCGAUGAGAAUUGUGAUAACAUGAUUGAGGAAAUUACUAGAUUGUAGUUUGGAUAGGUUCAUGCAAGGAGUAGACUUAAGAUACACGUAUUGAAUGCGUUGAUAACGUUAAAUGUAGGUUUUAGCAGUUUCCGAAAGGAUAAUCGCAAGUAGCGCGCUAGGUCACUUUCUGCUCGGGUAUUCGAAUGGCGGCAAACACGUGGACAUAAGGGUGUCUCAAAAUUUCACAUCGUCAAAAAACUCGGGGGCUCAAUGUCCAAAUGGUAGGCACGUGGAUCAUGAUUUCUAGAAAAAUUCUACAAAUGAAUCUAGUAGACUUUGUUGAUUGCACCCAACAUAACUCCCGCAGCAACGGGUGAAAAUUUUCUCAUUCCCUUUCGGCCCACCACUGGAAAAGGUUGUCUUUAUUUCCGGAAAAUCCCGAAAGCCCAUCAAGAUGUUCAAAAUUAUCAGUGAAGCAGCGAGAGUAGGAAUCUCGGCCAAAAACAUGGAAGCCGUCGGCAAGCUAGCUAAAGCUCGUCCAUUUUCCUCCUCGAACAAGGACCGCGGUCUGACGGAUUUCAGUCAGAAGAAAGACUGCCAGCAAAAGGCCUGCGCCGAACGGUCCACCAAGAUGCCCCCGAAGGAACCCAAAUCUAGCUGCGAUAAGCCCGUCAGUCCGAAGACAUGGCGCACCUGUCCGGAACCACCAACGCCGAAGGAGUUUUCCUGUGACGAUACGCUUCAACAGAUGGUACCGCGCCGUAAGAAGCGGCAGGUAGCCUCUCGGCCGUCCUGCGCCAAACCAGCACCCAGCCUGGCCGCUCCCGACUGCGUAAAAGUCAAGAAAGAGCUCUGUCCUCGGGCGUCCCUUCCCGGAUGUGGAAAGGCGAAGAUCCCACCCCGGUGCGAUCCGAAGAAAGUGGUCCGCGACUGCAUUAAACUGCGACCCCCGGUGGCUUCCUUUGCAGAGUGCUACAAGAACCCAUUCCCGCCACAACCCCGUUCCGAGUGCACCUGCCUGACCACGCCCCGGAUUUGCUGAAAGCGCUUCCUACCCGAGGCAGAAAGUUUCUGUGACCAUGAGAUUCCCCUCUUCUGAAUAAAAAAUGUACGUCGAUCGCAACGGUAA